GAGUCCCCUGGAACGGGGCGCCAUAGAGGGUGAGAGCCCCGUAUAGUUGGAUGCCUAGCCUCUAUAAAGCUCCUUCGACGAGUCGAGUAGUUUGGGAAUGCUGCUCAAAAUGGGAGGUAAAUUUCUUCUAAAGCUAAAUACCGGCCAGAGACCGAUAGCGCACAAGUAGAGUGAUCGAAAGAUGAAAAGCACUUUGAAAAGAGGGUUAAAUAGCACGUGAAAUUGUUGAAAGGGAAGCGCUUGUGACCAGACUUGCGCCGGGCAGCAUCAUCCGGUGUUCUCACCGGUGCACUCUGCCCGGUGCAGGCCAGCAUCGGUUCUCGCGGGGGGACAAAGGUCCUGGGAACGUAGCUCCUCCGGGAGUGUUAUAGCCCAGGGCGCAAUGCCCCCGCGGGGACCGAGGCUCGCGCUCUGCAAGGAUGCUGGCGUAAUGGUCACCAGCGACCCGUCUUGAAACACGGACCAAGGAGUCAAGGUUUUGCGCGAGUGUUUGGGUGUAAAACCCGCACGCGUAAUGAAAGUGAACGUAGGUGAGAGCUUCGGCGCAUCAUCGACCGAUCCUGAUGUAUUCGGAUGGAUUUGAGUAGGAGCGUUAAGCCUUGGACCCGAAAGAUGGUGAACUAUGCUUGGAUAGGGUGAAGCCAGAGGAAACUCUGGUGGAGGCUCGCAGCGGUUCUGACGUGCAAAUCGAUCGUCAAAUCUGAGCAUGGGGGCGAAAGACUAAUCGAACCAUCUAGUAGCUGGUUACCGCCGAAGUUUCCCUCAGGAUAGCAGUGUUGUCUUCAGUUUUAUGAGGUAAAGCGAAUGAUUAGGGACUCGGGGGCGCUUUUUAGCCUUCAUCCAUUCUCAAACUUUAAAUAUGUAAGAAGCCCUUGUUACUUAGUUGAACGUGGGCAUUCGAAUGUACCAACACUAGUGGGCCAUUUUUGGUAAGCAGAACUGGCGAUGCGGGAUGAACCGAACGCGGGGUUAAGGUGCCGGAGUGGACGCUCAUCAGACACCACAAAAGGCGUUAGUACAUCUUGACAGCAGGACGGUGGCCAUGGAAGUCGGAAUCCGCUAAGGACUGUGUAAGUUUUUACUCCCCCAUUCUCCCGUUUUCUUCUUUUUCUUCUUAAUACCCCUUACUAACAUAUCAUCUCUCUAGGUAACAACUCACCUGCCGAAUGUACUAGCCCUGAAAAUGGAUGGCGCUCAAGCGUCCCACCCAUACCCCGCCCUCAGGGUAGAAACGAUGCCCUGAGGAGUAGGCGGCCGUGGAGGUCAGUGACGAA
rnacentral:rRNA from 1 species